AAUUUUGGACAAUGGGGGAAACCCUGAUCCAGCCAUGCCGCGUGUGUGAAGAAGGUCUUCGGAUUGUAAAGCACUUUAAGUUGGGAGGAAGGGCUUUAGGUUAAUACCCUGAAGUUUUGACGUUACCAACAGAAUAAGCACCGGCUAACUCUGUGCCAGCAGCCGCGGUAAUACGAAGGGUGCAAGCGUUAAUCGGAAUUACUGGGCGUAAAGCGCGCGUAGGUGGUUCGUUAAGUUGGAAGUGAAAGCCCCGGGCUUAACCUGGGAAUUGCUUUCAAAACUGACGAGCUAGAGUACGGUAGAGGGUAGUGGAAUUUCCUGUGUAGCGGUGAAAUGCGUAGAUAUAGGAAGGAACAUCAGUGGCGAAGGCGACCACCUGGGCUAAUACUGACACUGAGGUGCGAAAGCGUGGGGAGCAAACAGG
rnacentral:rRNA from 1 species